rnacentral:rRNA from 1 species
UAGGGAAUCUUCCGCAAUGGGCGAAAGCUUGACGGAGCAACGCCGCGUGAGUGAUGAAGGUCUUCGGAUCGUAAAACUCUGUUAUUAGGGAAGAACAAAUGUGUAAGUAACUAUGCACGUCUUGACGGUACCUAAUCAGAAAGCCACGGCUAACUACGUGCCAGCAGCCGCGGUAAUACGUAGGUGGCAAGCGUUAUCCGGAAUUAUUGGGCGUAAAGCGCGCGUAGGCGGUUUUUUAAGUCUGAUGUGAAAGCCCACGGCUCAACCGUGGAGGGUCAUUGGAAACUGGAAAACUUGAGUGCAGAAGAGGAAAGUGGAAUUCCAUGUGUAGCGGUGAAAUGCGCUGAGAUAUGGAGGAACACCAGUGGCGAAGGCGACUUUCUGGUCUGUAACUGACGCUGAUGUGCGAAAGCGUGGGGAUCAAACAGG